rnacentral:rRNA from 1 species
AGCCCAGACCGACAGCUAAGGUCCCAAAGUGUGUGUUAAGUGGAAAAGGAUGUGGGAUUUCAAAGACAACUAGGAUGUUGGCUUAGAAGCAGCCAUACAUUUAAAGAGUGCGUAAUAGCUCACUAGUCGAGAGAACCUGCGCCGAAAAUAAUCGGGGCUAAAACACACCACCGAAGCUACGGAUUUCCUACUAAGUAGGAAGUGGUAGAGGAGCAUACUGCAAGGACGAAGCCAAAUCGAGAGAGAUGGUGGACGAAGCAGUAGAGAGAAUGCCGGAAUGAGUAGCGAGAUAUAUGUGAGAACCAUAUAGGCCGAAUAUCUAAGGUUUCCUGGGUGAAGCUAAUCUACCCAGGGUAAGUCGGGACCUAAGGCGAGGACGAGAGUCGUAGUCGAUGGACAACUGGUAGAGAUUCCAGUACUAUGUAUGAUCAGAACUGUGGGGACGCAGGAGGAUAGAUGGACCGCGGAAAGGGAAGACGCGGCCAAGCACAAAGGCGAGGUCAGUAGGCAAAUCCGCUGAUUGAUGCUGAAGUGUGACGGGGACUGAAAGAAAGUAAGGAAGUCAUUGAAUCCACACUGCCGAGAAAAGCCGCUAUUGUGUCAUACAUACCCGUACCGCAAACCGACACAGGUAGAUGAGGAGAAAAUCCACAGGCCGACGGGAGAAGUGUUGUUAAGGAACUCGGCAAAAUGACCCCGUAACUUAGGGAGAAGGGGAGCCACGAGAAGUGGUCACAGAGAAGAGGCUCAAGCAACUGUUUAGCAAAAACACAGGUCUCUGCGAAACCGAAAGGUGAAGUAUAGGGGCUGACACCUGCCCGGUGCUGGAAGGUUAAAAGGAGAGGUUCGGAGAAAUCCAAAGCUUUGAAUUCAAGCCCCAGUAAACGGCGGCCGUAACUAUAACGGUCCUAAGGUAGCGAAAUUCCUUGUCAGGUAAGUUCUGACCCGCACGAAAGGUGUAAUGAUUUGAGCACUGUCUCGACAACACGCCCGGUGAAAUUGAAGAACCGGUGAAGAUACCGGUUACCCGCAACAGGACGGAAAGACCCCAUGGAGCUUUACUGCAGCCUGAUACUGGGAUUCGAUGAUGUAUGUACAGGAUAGGAGGGAGACUGUGAAGGGAGUACGCCAGUAUUCCUGGAGUCGACGGUGGGAUACCUCUCUUACAUCAUUGGGUUUCUAACCUGCAUCCGUAAUCCGGAUGAGGGACAAUGUCAGGCGGGCAGUUUGACUGGGGCGGUCGCCUCCAAAAGAGUAACGGAGGCGCUCGAAGGUCUUCUCAGAAUGAUUGGAAACCAUUCAAAGAGUGUAAAGGCAAAAGAAGGCUUGACUGCGAGGCCGACGGGCCGAGCAGGUACGAAAGUAGGACUUAGUGAUCCGGUGGUAAUACGUGGGAAUGCCAUCGCUCAACGGAUAAAAGCUACCCUGGGGAUAACAGGCUGAUCUCCCCCAAGAGUUCACAUCGACGGGGAGGUUUGGCACCUCGAUGUCGGCUCAUCGCAUCCUGGGGCUGAAGUAGGUCCCAAGGGUUGGGCUGUUCGCCCAUUAAAGCGGUACGCGAGCUGGGUUCAGAACGUCGUGAGACAGUUCGGUCCCUAUCCGUUGUGGGCGUAGGAAAUUUGAGAGGAGCUGUCCUUAGUACGAGAGGACCGGGAUGGACGAACCGCUGGUGUAUCUGUUGCAUACCAAAUGCACGGCAGAGUAGCUAUGUUCGGAACGGAUAAACGCUGAAGGCAUCUAAGCGUGAAGCCGCCCUCAAGACGAGAUUUCCCAUUCGAAAGAAGUAAGACCCCUUGA